UGGGGAAUAUUGCGCAAUGGGGGGAACCCUGACGCAGCCAUGCCGCGUGAAUGAAGAAGGCCUUAGGGUUGUAAAGUUCUUUCGGUAUUGAGGAAGGUUGAUGUGUUAAUAGCACAUCAAAUUGACGUUAAAUACAGAAGAAGCACCGGCUAACUCCGUGCCAGCAGCCGCGGUAAUACGGAGGGUGCGAGCGUUAAUCGGAAUAACUGGGCGUAAAGGGCACGCAGGCGGUUAUUUAAGUGAGGUGUGAAAGCCCCGGGCUUAACCUGGGAAUUGCAUUUCGGACUGGGUAACUAGAGUACUUUAGGGAGGGGUAGAAUUCCACGUGUAGCGGUGAAAUGCGUAGAGAUGUGGAGGAAUACCGAAGGCGAAGGCAGCCCCUUGGGAAUGUACUGACGCUCAUGUGCGAAAGCGUGGGGAGCAAACAGGAUUAGAUACCCUGGUAGUCCACGCUGUAAACGCUGUCGAUUUGGGGGUUGGGGUUUAACUCUGGCGCCCGUAGCUAACGUGAUAAAUCGACCGCCUGGGGAGUACGGCCGCAAGGUUA
rnacentral:rRNA from 1 species